rnacentral:rRNA from 1 species
AGUGAACGCUGGCGGUAGGCCUAACACAUGCAAGUCGAACGGCAGCACAGUAAGAGCUUGCUCUUACGGGUGGCGAGUGGCGGACGGGUGAGGAGUACAUCGGAAUCUACUUUUUCGUGGGGGAUAACGUAGGGAAACUUACGCUAAUACCGCAUACGACCUACGGGUGAAAGCAGGGGAUCUUCGGACCUUGCGCGAUUGAAUGAGCCGAUGUCGGAUUAGCUAGUUGGCGGGGUAAAGGCCCACCAAGGCGACGAUCCGUAGCUGGUCUGAGGGGAUGAUCAGCCACACUGGAACUGAGACACGGUCCAGACUCCUACGGGAGGCAGCAGUGGGGAAUAUUGGACAAUGGGCGCAAGCCUGAUCCAGCCAUACCGCGUGGGUGAAGAAGGCCUUCGGGUUGUAAAGCCCUUUUGUUGGGAAAGAAAAGCAGCAGGUUAAUACCCCGCUGUUCUGACGGUACCCAAAGAAUAAGCACCGGCUAACUUCGUG